rnacentral:lncRNA from 1 species
GUAGCAGGGAUCCAGGAGCUGAGGCUGAAGCAAGGAGAGUAGGGGCAGGGUAAGCAAGUCCAGAGCAGAAUCCAAGGAAGCAGUAGUGCGGGGACGAGUGACUGGAGACAGUGACCAGAGUCAGAGCGGACGGAACUGUAGCGGAGAGAAAAGCAGAGUCAGGCUAGGGAAAACCAGGCACAAGAGAAUAACAAGAUCUAUGCAGGAACAAACAGCUUGAACCGCAGACUGAGCAGAGUCUACAAACUAGCAGUGUGGAAGUGGCAGGGCUGAGUAUUUGUAAAGGCUUGAUUAUGGAACAUGUUGCAGCUGGUAGGGAUCUGCUCCGCCUCCAGCAUACCUGUCUCCACACACACACACACACACACACACACACACACACACACAGAGGGAGAGAGCACUGGGGAAGUGGCGGCAGGUUAGGGAGACACAGGAUGAGAAGUAGAUGGCAUGGCAGGAGCAGAUGUAACAGAGAGAAAAAAAUCUAUUUAAUACCUUUUUGAAUUCAGGCUGUAACACAACCAAAUGUGGAGUAAGUCAAGGGGUGUGAAUACUUUCUGAAGGCGCUGUAUGUACAGUAUGUAAUGCACUAUUACAGGACCUACAUGGACAAUUAAACCAUCCAGAGAUGCUCUUUAUUUCACUCUGUUGAUCUUCAUUAUCAAAUUCAUUGUUGCAGUUUACUCUGUUGCCUUUUGAAACUAUGCUUUUUAAAGUAUGUAUUAUGUGUUUAUGAUAAUCACCAUUGGAACCGCUCCCCCUUGUACCAGGAUCUGAAAGUCUUGCUUGACUCCAGAGAUGUUUGUGUGCCCCUUGCAACCUCCAAACGAUACAAGCAUGGCACCAGCCAGGUGCCAGAUUUAUCAGACCUAUGUUUUUUGAAGAUGUUUCAACUUUGAAGGGCUUUGUGAGCCAUAACAUACUUUUUGAGUGUGGGUGUGUUUACGGGUGUGUGUACCUGUAUGAAUUAGUGUGUGUUGUUCUUGAAGAUUAUUCACCAGGGUUUCACCACAAGAGUCCCUUUGGAAACAGAUGGUCAGAAUAGAUUGUGGGAGGUAAGCUAACAGAAAGCCCAUUCAGUCUGCCCCUCUUGUGCCCAGUUUGGACUCAAUGCUGUUUUUCUUGGACCAUCUGAAUGGCACUGCUUUUAAACAUAUCUACUCUUAAA